UACGUAGGGUGCGAGCGUUGUCCGGAUUUAUUGGGCGUAAAGGGCUCGUAGGCGGUUUGUCGCGUCGGGUGUGAAAUCCUACUGACCUUGAACGGUGGGCCGUUGCAUUCGGAUACGGGCAGACUGGAGUGUGGCAGGGGAGACUGGAAUUCCUGGUGUAGCGGUGAAAUGCGCAGAUAUCAGGAGGAACACCGAUGGCGAAGGCAGGUCUCUGGGCCAUAACUGACGCUGAGAAGCGAAAGCAUGGGGGAGCGAACAGG
rnacentral:rRNA from 1 species